AGUGUGUAACGGCAUAAGUGAGCUUGACUGCGAGACCUACAAGUCGAGCAGGGUCGAAAGACGGACUUAGUGCUCCGGUGGUUCCGCAUGGAAGGGCCAUCGCUCAACGGAUAAAAGCUACCCCGGGGAUAACAGGCUUAUCUCCCCCAAGAGUUCACAUCGACGGGGAGGUUUGGCACCUCGAUGUCGGCUCAUCGCAUCCUGGGGCUGUAGUCGGUCCCAAGGGUUGGGCUGUUCGCCCAUUAAAGCGGUACGCGAGCUGGGUUCAGAACGUCGUGAGACAGUUCGGUCCCUAUCCGUCGUGGGCGUAGGAAAUUUGAGAGGAGCUGUCCUUAGUACGAGAGGACCGGGAUGGACAUACCUCUGGUGUACCAGUUGUCGUGCCAACGGCAUAGCUGGGUAGCUAUGUGUGGACGGGAUAAGUGCUGAAAGCAUCUAAGCAUGAAGCCCCCCUCAAGAUGAGAUUUCCCAACUUCGGUUAUAAGAUCCCUCAAAGAUGAUGAGGUUAAUAGGUUCGAGGUGGAAGCAUGGUGACAUGUGGAGCUGACGAAUACUAAUCGAUCGAAGACUUAAUCAA
rnacentral:rRNA from 1 species